UUGAGUACUUGUACUCUACUUGUAGUCUUUUCAUUGCACUUUCUACUUCUCCUCCACUACAUUUCAGAGAGAAAUCUUGUACUUUUUACUGCGCUACAUUAAUCUGACAGUUUGGGUUGCUGGUUACUUUACAAAAAAGAUCUUGCACACAA